rnacentral:rRNA from 1 species
CCUACGGGAGGCAGCAGUGAGGAAUAUUGGUCAAUGGGCGGGAGCCUGAACCAGCCAAAUCGCGUGAGGGAAGACGGUCCUACGGAUUGUAAACCUCUUUCGCCGGGGAGCAACGGCGUCCUUGCGUGGGCCCAAUGAGAGUACCCGGAGAAAAAGCAUCGGCUAACUCCGUGCCAGCAGCCGCGGUAAUACGGGGGAUGCGAGCGGUAUCCGGAUUUAUUGGGUGUAAAGGGUGCGUAGGCGGGCUGUUAAGUCAGCGGUCAAAUGUCGGGGCUCAACCCCGGCCGGCCGUUGAAACUGGCGACAUCGAGUGGGCGAGAAGAAUGCGGAAUGCGUGGUGUAGCGGUGAAAUGCAUAGAUAUCACGCAGAACUCCGAUUGCGAAGGCAGCAUACCGGCGCCCUACUGACGCUGAGGCACGAAAGCGUGGGUAUCGAACAGGAUUAGAUACCCGAGUAGUC